GACGAACGCUGGCGGCGUGCUUAACACAUGCAAGUCGAACGAAGUGGCGAACGGGUGAGUAACGCGUAGUCAACCUGCCCUUCAGAGGGGGAUAACAGUUGGAAACGACUGCUAAUACCGCAUACUGAAGGAGGGGAUUGUGGCUGAUUAGCUAGUUGGAGGGGUAACGGCCCACCAAGGGGAUGAUCAGUAGCCGGUCGUGGAGGAUGAACGGCCACAUUGGGACUGAGACACGGCCCAGACUCCCACGGGAGGCAGAAGUGGGGAAUCUUCCGCAAGGGACGAAAGGCUGACGGAGCAAAGCCGCGGGAGUGAUGACGGCCUUCGGGUUGUAAAGCUCUGUUAAUCGGGACGCGGUACCGGAAUAGAAAGCCACGGCUAACUACGUGCCAGCAGCCGCGGUAAUAC
rnacentral:rRNA from 1 species